GACUCCUACCGGGAGGCAGCAGUGGGGAAUAUUGCACCAAUGGGCGAAAGCCUGAUGCAGCGACGCCCGCGUGAGGGAUGACGGCCUUCGGGUUGUAAACCUCUUUCAGUAGGGAAGAAGCGAAAGUGACGGUACCUGCAGAAGAAGCGCCGGCUAACUACGUGCCAGCAGCCGCGGUAAUACGUAGGGCGCAAGCGUUGUCCGGAAUUAUUGGGCGUAAAGAGCUUGUAGGUGGCUUGUCGCGUCUGCCGUGAAAACCCGAGGCUCAACCUCGGGCGUGCGGUGGGUACGGGCAGGCUAGAGUGUGGUAGGGGAGACUGGAACUCCUGGUGUAGCGGUGAAAUGCGCAGAUAUCAGGAAGAACAUCGAUGGCGAAGGCAGGUCUCUGGGCCAUUACUGACACUGAGAAGCGAAAGCAUGGGUAGCGAACAGGAUUAGAUACCCUGGUAGUCCAUGCCGUAAACGUUGGGCACUAGGUGUGGGGGACAUUCCACGUUUUCCGCGCCGUAGCUAACGCAUCAAGUGCCCCGCCUGGGGAGUACGGCCGCAAGGCUAAAACUCAAAGGAAUUGACGGGGGCCCGCACAAGCGGCGGAGCAUGCUGAUUAAUUCGAUGCAACGCGAAGAACCUUACCAAGGCUUGACAUGCACUGGACGGCUGCAGAGAUGUGGCUUUCUUUGGACUGGUGCACAGGUGGUGCAUGGUUGUCGUCAGCUCGUGUCGUGAGAUGUUGGGUUAAGUCCCGCAACGAGCGCAACCCUCGUUCUAUGUUGCCAGCACGUGAUGGUGGGGACUCAAUAGGAGACUG
rnacentral:rRNA from 1 species